rnacentral:misc_RNA from 1 species
UGAUGAAGAGGAAUUUGAGUUCUCGAGGAAUUACUUUCUCGCAAAAGAGAGUUCGGGUAAGAAAUCAACCCGCAAGAUUUCUGAUAUUGAUCUGGUUGAUGAACAGGUUCCGUCUCUAACUUCCCCUAAUAACACAUUUCUUCUUGUCUUCGUUUUGUUUCAGGGAUUAAUGGCUUUUUUUUGUCUUCCUUAUUUUGUGCAGGAGCUGAGAGCAGCUGUAGCUAAUAUUGAACCAAAGCAUGAGAAAGAGACUAUUGCUCUUGCGAGUAGUUAUAAGAAGUUAUAUCCCCGAUGGGUUUUUGAGC